rnacentral:rRNA from 1 species
UACAGAGGGGGCAAGCGUUGUCCGGAAUUAUUGGGCGUAAAGAGCUCGUAGGCGGUCUGUCGCGUCUGCUGUGAAAACUCAGGGCUUAACCCUGAGCUUGCAGUGGGUACGGGCAGACUAGAGUGCGGUAGGGGAGACUGGAAUUCCUGGUGUAGCGGUGGAAUGCGCAGAUAUCAGGAGGAACACCGAUGGCGAAGGCAGGUCUCUGGGCACUUACUGACGCUGAGGAGCGAAAGCGUGGGGAGCGAACAGG